UAUAUUCUCGAUUCUGGGGGGAAUGAUUUAAGUUAUCUUUGAUUUGAUGUUCUAUUUUUUUUUAAAUUGAUCAAUAAUGGGAGCUUUACUAUUCCCACGGGGUUUUGUAUGACCAACAUACACUGGGUUUUGUAUAACCGAUAUACACUGGGCAGGUUCAUAAAAAACCUGCGGUAACGUGCACUACCGUAAAUAAACUAAACUUAAUCAUGAGAGGCAUGUUCGCCCGAGAUGAGGGGAUAUUAAAUAGGUGCUGGGGGAUAGGACGGUGAUCUUGUACAAAUAGGAUAUUAACUAGGCGUGGGGAGACAGGAAGGGAAUUAUUUUCGGACAAGAUAAACUCUGGGAGUAUUGACCAUCGUUCCGAUUCAACAAAUAGUACUGAAAUAAAGUCCAAAUGAGGAGGAGAGGGAAACCAAAAUCUAGAGGAAUGGGAUAAAAGCCAAAUCUAUAGACAAGAGGUUCCAGGCGAGAGGGAAGCCUAAUAUAGCGAAGUGAGAUAACGAUAUUAGUGUACUUUAAAAGCCCUCUGACACAACCUGAUAUAAGAUGUUAACUAGGGAUUUACGACCCCUGGGCUUAUAGUUGUAUAGGUAAGACCUAAUAUCCGAUUCAACAGUCAAAGCUAUUGAUAAGGUUUCCAUAAAGGAGAAAACACAAAUAGAAAUAUAUGCAGAAAGAUGAUAAGAGGAACACCUAUUUUAGCCAAACAUGGAGGAGCAAGUACGAAUUUGAUGAACGUUUAAAUAAAGAAAAACUGGAAUCAAUGAUUAAACAAAUAAAUAGGGUUAGUGAAGACAAGGCAGAUAAACAACGGGCAGAGGGGCUAAAUACAGCUAGGAUAUGGUUAGCCGAGGCAAGGAAGGGAGCUGAGAACAAAGGAAAAGAAAGGGAGACGUCCAAAAUUUGACUCAGACAAAGAACCUGAAUAGAAGCUGAUACUACUAAAAUAGUCAGGAAGGGUUUAAAUUAGGACUAUUUUCUGGGAAUUCUCGGUGCCGGAGUUUGCGACUACAGAUAAUUAUAAUAAUAUAGUUAUUGCCGGGGAAACUCAAUCAUUUCAAUAGCGGGACACUAAGGUUCGUAUCUCAGCUUUGACACCAAUAGACUAAAAUUGAUUUUAGAUUGUAAUUCAUCUAUUUGUAUGUUUUGCCUGGAAAAAUAUGGUCGCUAGUGUUUGUAUAAGAUAUGAACUGAAUGUUUAAUAUGUUGUUUAGGUUGAAUUGAAAGAAAAAUUCAUUCAAAAUAAUGGCGAGACAAUUUCGAUAUAAUACUGUAUUUUGCCCAAAAUGAUCUGCUGGAAUAAUGUAUUGAGAUGGGAGUCGUAUUUAAAUAAAUGUAUCAUAGAAGAGAAAGUAACCUAAACCUGAUUAAUUUUAGGGAAUAACGGAGAGAUACGAUAAAGUUUUGUGCCACCAGGAUGUUGUAUUUUUUUAUGAAUCGACUGACAUACGAUAUAAAUUUAGCACAGAACAUGGUACGUUUAAAUGUUGGGGUUUAGAAAGUUGAGAAGUUCGGUUGGUUUUACUUUGUCGAUAGAAUUUAAAGGAGAACUCAAUCUGAAUAGGGAAUAUAUAUUUGACAAGUGGCAGGCUGAUUUGCGGCGUCAUUACGUUGACUACACAACAACGUUCCUCAAAUUAUGACAGAGAAAAUGGGCUGUGGCAUUUAGAGGGAAAAUGCGUGCAUUAUAGCUUUGAGUUACUUUUCAAAAGUGGCUAAAAGUUUCAAAUACAUUUUUUUUAAAGGAGCAGAAUAUCGUAGGGAUAGUCUGAAAAGAUGCAACAGAAUUGCUAGGCGUUCCAUUGGGCUAUAUUUGGCAAUAAUAUAGGGAGAUGUAUGCACUACAGGUGAACUACAGGAUAAGGUGAUUCACUCAACCCAGUCCCAGAGGAGAAUAAACGGGAAGCAGCACGGUGGGGAGGGGCCAGACCAAGCACUCCUGGUGACUGCCUUCGCGGUGAGGAUAGACGGGAAGCAGCACGGUGGGGAGGGGCCAUACCAAGCACUCCUGGUGACUGCCUUCGCGGUGAGGAUAGACGGGAAGCAGCACGGUGGGGAGGGGCCAUACCAAGCACUCCUGGUGACUGCCUUCGCGGUGAGGAUAGACGGGAAGCAGCACGGUGGGGAGGGGCCAUACCAAGCACUCCUGGUGACUGCCUUCGCGGUGAGGAUAGACGGGAAGCAGCACGGUGGGGAGGGGCCAUACCAAGCACUCCUGGUGACUGCCGUCGCGGUGAGGAUAGACGGGAAGCAGCACGGUGGGGAGGGGCCAGACCAAGCACUCCUGGUGACUGCCGUCGCGGUGAGGAUAGCCGAAGGAGCUCCCGGGGACUCUGGGGAAAUCAUUGAGAAAACAGAUGGUGCGAUAUGGACUGAUUCCAAGAUCUGACCAGUGGAAUGAUGGAUACAUGCCUCAAACCUAAAUAGAUGAAUGAAUCCGGGUUCUUCAUAUGCGAGGAACUUAUGUUUUUGAUUAGAGCAUUUUGAUAUUUAGAGAUGUUAGGUUGUUUCUUGUUUCGAUGAAGAUUGUAACGAAAAUUCUGAUGAGAAGAGUUAUGAUUCUGAUGUUGGCCUAAAAACAGUCAGUGUGAAUGCAAUAAUUGGGUUAUGUUUAGGUGAUAUUUUGAUAACAAUAAAUAUUUCUAAUAAAAAUAGAAGUAUGCUUUUUAAUAUUUUAAUAAAACUAGAUGUGUGAUUGGAUCUAUAAUAUUUAAUCAUUUUUUAUCAAUAAUGACUCAUUAUGUAUACAUUUCAAUCAGGACUGACUAAUCAGAAUACUAUUAUGUUGCUGUAUAGAUGUAUGAGUUAAAAAAAAAUCCUAGUACUGAAUAUAAUGUGUGUAAAUAUAAUCAAGAAUUCCAACAAUGACUGUCUGUUCCUUGGUAGAAAUGAAUGAACUUAUCGCCAGACUGGCUAGAAUGCUUAUCUACACAGGCAGACCUUGGCUCGGGUCAUAAAUUAUCUAAAUUAGGAGAGACGAUGUGGGAAGGCUUGAGAACUAUACAGCCUUUGUACCAGGGUGAAGAAGAGACGGGACAGUUCGAAAACUAAUGAUGUCAUUUUCAGUUUAUAACCUGUGGUAAACUGUAUCAUGUUCAGUACUCUCGAGAAUAAACGCUGCUGGUUGAUUUUGAAA